GUCCCGACCCCCAGUUUGAGAACCCCUGGCCUACAGCACCAGCUGGGCUCUGCUCAGUGUGUGCUGGCCACAUGAGCUGGAACCUUGGGCCACAGCGUUUACUUAGUACCUUUAUUGACCUUCUGGCUUUUACCAGGCUGUGUGAUCUGGGGGGGGGGGGCAAAGGGCUGAGGGCCCCCCUUUGUCACUGCUAUGGCAGUGCUACCCCUUAGCAGCACCCUCCCCUGUCCCUCCCAGCCUGGGGCCCAGCAGAGACUGCUGAGUUCAUGUAGCAGGAGUUCCCCUGAUGGAGUCCUUGCCUCCCUUAGGCAGGGGAAGCCCAGCUUUGCAGGGGGCUAGGAGAGUUCGGGAAAGAUGCUGCUCCCCAGACCUUGUUUCUGCUCUUAACCCCCCCACCCUCCCAGUUGGGAACUGGUGCCAUCCCCAGAGCCUGUGUCCUGGGUACUCUGUCAUUCUGCAGCUUGCUUUUCCAGUCUCGGCUCUCUUCUCUGACUGCUGCCGAGAUGCCCCACCGAGGGCAUCACUGAGUUGCACUGUGCUGGGUGCUGUCUGCAGCCUGGACUCCUGGUCAUAAGGAUCCUAUCUGUCUGAAUCCUGGCUGCUCUUUCUUUGAUCUGCAGAAUGACUGAUGCUUUUCAGCCAUCAGUUGUAGGUAAAGAAUCUAAAGAAUAUCUAAGUAUAAUCUAACGUUCUCCUGUGAAAUGCCGGCUGUGCAAACCCUUCCGUGGCUGGAUCAUUCUUG